GUGCCAGCAGCCGCGGUAAUACGUAGGUCCCGAGCGUUGUCCGGAUUUAUUGGGCGUAAAGCGAGCGCAGGCGGUUAGAUAAGUCUGAAGUUAAAGGCUGUGGCUUAACCAUAGUACGCUUUGGAAACUGUUUAACUUGAGUGCAAGAGGGGAGAGUGGAAUUCCAUGUGUAGCGGUGAAAUGCGUAGAUAUAUGGAGGAACACCGGUGGCGAAAGCGGCUCUCUGGCUUGUAACUGACGCUGAGGCUCGAA
rnacentral:rRNA from 1 species